GUGAGGUAACGGCUCACCAAGGCAUCGACGGGUAGCUGGUCUGAGAGGACGAUCAGCCACACUGGAACUGAGACACGGUCCAGACUCCUACGGGAGGCAGCAGUAGGGAAUCUUGCACAAUGGGCGAAAGCCUGAUGCAGCGACGCCGCGUGGGGGAUGAAGGCCUUCGGGUUGUAAACCCCUUUCAGUGGGGACGAAAUUGACGGUACCCACAGAAGAAGCACCGGCCAACUACGUGCCAGCAGCCGCGGUAAUACGUAGGGUGCAAGCAUUGUCCGGAUUUAUUGGGCGUAAAGAGCUCGUAGGCGGCUUAACAAGUCGGCCGUGAAAUACCGAGGCUCAACCUAGGGGAGUCGGUCGAAACUGUUAUAGCUAGAGUACGGUAGAGGAGAGUGGAAUUCUCGGUGUAGCGGUGGAAUGCGCAGAUAUCGAGAGGAACACCAGUAGCGAAGGCGGCUCUCUGGGCCGUUACUGACGCUGAGGAGCGAAAGCGUGGGGAGCAAACAGGAUUAGAUACCCUGGUAGUCCACGCUGUAAACGUUGGGAACUAGGUGUUGCGGUCUGAUCAAUGACUGCGGUGCCGAAGCUAACGCAUUAAGUU
rnacentral:rRNA from 1 species